rnacentral:rRNA from 1 species
UACGUAGGGUGCAAGCGUUAAUCGGAAUUACUGGGCGUAAAGCGUGCGCAGGCGGUUAUGUAAGACAGAUGUGAAAUGCCCGGGCUUAACCUGGGAACUGCAUUUGUGACUGCAUGGCUAGAGUGUGUCAGAGGGGGGUAGAAUUCCACGUGUAGCAGUGAAAUGCGUAGAUAUGUGGAGGAAUACCGAUGGCGAAGGCAGCCCCCCUGGGAUAACACUGACGCUCAUGCCACGAAAGCGUGGGGGAGCAAACAGG